UACAGAGGGUGCGAGCGUUAAUCGGAAUUACUGGGCGUAAAGCGCGCGUAGACGGUUUUGUAAGUCAGAUGUGAAAUCCCUGGGCUCAACCUGGGAACUGCAUUUGAGACUGCAUGGCUAGAGUAUGGAAGAGGGAAGUGGAAUUUCCGGUGUAGCGGUGAAAUGCGUAGAUAUCGGAAGGAACACCAGUGGCGAAAGCGACUUCCUGGUCCAAUACUGACGUUCAUGUGCGAAAGCGUGGGGAG
rnacentral:rRNA from 1 species